AGUGAACGCUGGCGGUAGGCCUAACACAUGCAAGUCGAACGGCAGCACAGUAAGAGCUUGCUCUUACGGGUGGCGAGUGGCGGACGGGUGAGGAAUACAUCGGAAUCUACUUUUUCGUGGGGGAUAACGUAGGGAAACUUACGCUAAUACCGCAUACGACCUACGGGUGAAAGCAGGGGAUCUUCGGACCUUGCGCGAUUGAAUGAGCCGAUGUCGGAUUAGCUAGUUGGCGGGGUAAAGGCCCACCAAGGCGACGAUCCGUAGCUGGUCUGAGAGGAUGAUCAGGCACACUGGAAAUGAGACACGGUCCAGACUCAUACGGGAGGCAGCAGUGGGGAAUAGUGGACAAUGGGCGCAAGCCUGAUCCAGCCAUACCGCGUGAGUGAAGAAGGCCUGCGGGUUGUAAAGCCCUUAUGGUGGGAAAGAAAAGCAGCAGGUUAAUACCCCGCUGUUCUGACGGUACCCAAAGAAUAAGCACCGGCUAACUUCGUG
rnacentral:rRNA from 1 species